AGUGGUUCUCUGGUGACACACCCCGGAAUCAGGCUCCCUCCUUUCUGGUUCUGGGUGCAUCACCCGAGAAGCACA
rfam:Myotis brandtii contig209205, whole genome shotgun sequence.